GAUGAACGCUGGCGGCGUGCCUAAUACAUGCAAGUCGAGCGAAUGGAUUAAGAGCUUGCUCUUAUGAAGUUAGCGGCGGACGGGUGAGUAACACGUGGGUAACCUGCCCAUAAGACUGGGAUAACUCCGGGAAACCGGGGCUAAUACCGGAUAACAUUUUGAACCGCAUGGUUCGAAAUUGAAAGGCGGCUUCGGCUGUCACUUAUGGAUGGACCCGCGUCGCAUUAGCUAGUUGGUGAGGUAACGGCUCACCAAGGCAACGAUGCGUAGCCGACAUGAGAGGGUGCUCGGCCACACUGGGAAUGAGACACGGCCCAGACUCCUGCGGGAGGCAGCAGUAGGGAAUCUUCCGCACUGGACGAAAGUCUGACGGAGCAACGCCGCGGGAGUGAUGAAGGCUUUCGGGUCGUAAAACUCUGUUGUUAGGGAAGAACAAGUGCUAGUUGAAUAAGCUGACACCUUGACGGUACCUAACCAGAAAGCCACGGCUAACUACGUGCCAGCAGCCGCGGUAA
rnacentral:rRNA from 1 species